rnacentral:rRNA from 1 species
GACGAACGCUGGCGGCGUGCUUAACACAUGCAAGUCGAACGGAAAGGCCCUGCUUUUGUGGGGUGCUCGAGUGGCGAACGGGUGAGUAACACGUGAGUAACCUGCCCUUGACUUUGGGAUAACUUCAGGAAACUGGUGCUAAUACCGGAUAGGAGCUCCUGCUGCAUGGUGGGGGUUGGAAAGUUUCGGCGGUUGGGGAUGGACUCGCGGCUUAUCAGCUUGUUGGUGGGGUAGUGGCUUACCAAGGCUUUGACGGGUAGCCGGCCUGAGAGGGUGACCGGCCACAUUGGGACUGAGAUACGGCCCAGACUCCUACGGGAGGCAGCAGUGGGGAAUAUUGCACAAUGGGCGGAAGCCUGAUGCAGCAACGCCGCGUGCGGGAUGACGGCCUUCGGGUUGUAAACCGCUUUCGCCUGUGACGAAGCGUGAGUGACGGUAAUGGGUAAAGAAGCACCGGCUAACUACGU